rnacentral:lncRNA from 1 species
AUAUUUUUCAUAUUGAAAUUCACAACCACACUUUCGUUAACAGCACCACUCAUAGUAUAUUUACAAUACUAUCUACAGCAUAAAAGUCUCACACCUAUCUAUACCAAGACAGGGUUCACAAAAGGGAUGGGAUCUCAAUCCACAUCCGGGUUAUAUUUAAGAUCCCUCUCUGGAUCAUCUUCUUCCUGCAUAAGUCUUUCUCCUCUUCAGGUUCCUCUUCCUUAGAUUCUCCUCAGGGUCCUGAAAUGGUUAUUCAAUAACCAAUGAGACCACGUCUCAGCGAGUCCUACCCCCUACGACUCGAUUAGUAAACUAAUACACCAUACGGUUGCCUAAGCACAACACGAGUCGAAGGACUUACCUUGGCCUCAGUUCCAACCUGCAAUUCAAGGUUAAACACAGAUAUUCAAACAAUUCACGACAUCCGAUCAAGCAUUGAUCAAUCGACUAAGUCGAUUACAUGUCAGCCAGACCCUUUCUAGGUCAUUCCCACUCAUACCACACUUUCUCAGUGGUGUACUCAUUCACCAAAUCACAUGUGUUUCUCGGGCGUCGUUUUCGCCAAUGACAUACCGAUCACCGACACCGUGCGUUCUUUAAGGCGCCGUUUUCACCAGUGAUAACCUUGAUCACCGAACCACGUGUCCUUUCAAGGGCGUCGUUUUCGCCAAGGUGACAUCGGCUAUAGACAACAUCGUGCGUUCUUUAAGGCGCCGUUUUCACCAGUGAUAUUCCCAUAAUCACCGAACCAUGUUUGUCUAUAAGUCAUUUACGUGCGUUCUUUAAGGCGCCGUUUUCGCCAGUGAUACUUCCAAUCACCGAACCACGUAUAUCCAAUAACAUCGUACCUGAUUGGUCUCACCAUUCUCCCUACUAUAUAGCCCAUCAACGUACUGGCGCUAUAUACCCAUGCUUAGCCAUUACCAAUCAAAUACUCAAUAACAAACAAUUUAGGACAAUUCCUAAAAUUCCACAAUAAAUUCAAUUCCACACAACGUAGAGCUCAAAUAAAUAAACGGUCUGCACCACGACAAUCGGCACGAAAUUCCGGUCACCGGCCAUCCCGGUUGAAUUUCCGGAAAAAUAAUUAAUUAAAUAAAUAAAUUUCGAAAAUAAAUAAAUAAACAUUAAAAAUCCAAUUUAGGCCCAUAUUGCCUGAUUGGAGCCCGAAACGGGUCGGGAAAAAUCCCGAGAUACAUUCAAUAAAUAAUCAAACAUUUCUACUUGCUAAUAGCUAGGUCUAACCACCUAACAUGCAUCCUCAAGUCACUAAUUUAAUUGUUCUAACCUAAUCUAACCACCUAAGUGCAUGUAAUUAAAUCUAACCAACCCUAAGGCAUAAUUAGCAAACUAAUAAAGCUUUAGUGAGUAAAACUCACUUGACAAAAGCGGGAAUCGAAUCACCGCAACGGCGACGCGACGGCGGCCGAAAUCGGACUUUCGACAACACCGGCGGGCUUGGGACCGGGCCUUGAUCUUGGCCCAACAAAUCUCAGCCCAAUUGAGAUUUGUUCUUGCACUGGAAUGGGCUGGACCUGCUGAAUUUCUGGACUGAACUAACUGCGCUAGCUGAACUGGGCUUGCUGGUCUUGUGCUGAAUUCGGUGGCCCAAAGGACUGAAGCUCACGGGCUGGGCUUGCUGCAGGGCUUGUCUUCAGCUAGUUUGUUGGACUGAAGAUCACAUGGGCUGCUGAGCUGGGCUGGAAUUCGCUGGGUUGUUGCUGGAGGAGGCCCGCAGAUGAAGCAACGUGGAGACGCUGAUUUCUGGGGUUUCGUUGGACGCUGCUCGAGCGUGGACUGAAGAAGAAGGUUGCUGGGCUUCUUCGUUGGCGUCGUGGGGUCUUCAGUCAACAAACCGAAGCUUGUUGCUGGAGUUUGACCCACGGAGCAAGUCGGAUGCGCGGAGGCUGAGGGACGCGCGGAUGAAAGGAGUUGCAACUGCUGGCGGUUCCAUUUGUUGGCUUCUCGGUGGAUCGUGGCUUCAAGGGUCAACAACGUGAUGAAGCUGACCAAGGUUGCGGUAGUGGAAGUCUUCGUGGCUGUUGGCAAGGCAUGAACGAAGAUGUUGGACUUUGGGAUUCGGUGGCAGCGCGAGAGAGAAGCAAAUCGUAGACGGGGCUUCGAUCAGUCUUCAGUGAGGAGAGUUGACUGGCGGAUGCGUUGAGGUUUCACGCUGUGUUGAUCGCUGACCAAAGACUCUUGCGGACGCGUGGGGAGAAGAAAGCGUGGCACGGAGCUGCUUUGGUGUUGUCUCGGCGGCUUCAAGUAGCUGCGGUUGUGGACGAGCUUGUAAGGCGUGAAGACACGAUGCAGCUUCUUCGGUGAUGACUGGAGCAGUGAAGUGGAAGAUGGACGCAUGGAGUUGAGGGCUUCGGUGGGAUUGCAGGGAAGUCGGACGUUCAGUGAACUGGAGCUUCGCUGGUUCUGCCUCCCUUUUUGCUGGUCACGCACGAUCUUGAGGAUAAGAGAGAGUGGAGGGCUCCACCAAGGCUUGAUAUUUU